UGGGAAUUCAAGGUGAGAUUUGGGUGGGAGCACAGCCAAACCAUAUCAGUACUGCAUUACUUGCAUUGCUUUCCAUCAUUUCUUCACAACCUCCCUUUUCUCUCACUCUUAGAUUGCUCCUUCGAAACAAAACUUUGCUGGUUAAUUUUUUUUGUCUGGGUCUGGUCUCUGGGGAAGCUGAGUUAAGACAAUCUGAAUCAUGCAUCUCAAACUCAUGCAAUGGGAGGAAAGGGAGUACAAACAAAUUGAAUUACUCUUGAUAUUAGUAGAAAAUAUCUGUGUUUAUAAGUAAGGUGCAGUUUGCUUGCCUAGAGUUGUUUCAACCUUUUCAUAUGGAAAGAGCACCUCCCAUCCCUAGGAGAACAAGAAACCAUUCCACUUACAAUCUCUACACUUUUAAGGUUCUGAAUGAUAACGGUAUCUGAAUAUCCAAACAUGACAUUUCAUCAGAAAGUAGAAUUUGCUUUUUAUCUUUACUUAUUAUUAUUUUUAUUUUCUGAUCCACUGACUUUCUGAAUAUCAACCACCAUUCAUCAACAAGUAGGUGAAGAUAUCCCAACAACAGAUUCCCAAGGAAAGGCUUUGAAUCAAGAAACUGCCAUUAAAUAGCUGUAUGGCUGCACAAUUUAAGUAACCCUUCUGAACCUCAACUUUCUCAUCAGAUAAAAUAAAGACUAAAUGAGAUGAGCAUGGGCACGCACCUCACUCUGAGCCGGGCACUUACUAGGCACAUAGCAAUGUUCAUCUAAUCUGAAACUUUGUGUUAUUUCAAACAAAUUCCUUUGCUUGAUAUUGCUUUUAGAAGAAUGUCCUAUUCCACCUCUGGAUGCUAAUUGCCUUUUCAGAUUAUGUAUCUCAUUAAGCUGUGUAUAUCUUCAUGUUUUAGCUUCAGUAGUAAUUGAGUGCUCAGUCAUUGCUAUAUUCACUAUCCUGACAACAUUUAUUAAAAUGAAGCAAUUAACUAUUGUCUUAAAUGGAGUUUAGAGGUAAGGUUCAUUAGACUUAGGCUCAUUACAAUUAACUUAAGUGUUAAAUGCAAAAUUAUGUUAUCUCAACUUUACCCUGAAAAUGCAUUCAAAUGGAUUUCUCUAGAGCUGGCAUUCCUUCGUCACAUAAGCGCAAAACUAGUUAGAAAUAUUUCAGUGAAACACAAUCUUCAUUAAAAAGAUAUUAUUAAAAAUGUAAAGCCCCAAAUUGGCUCACAGGGGUUCCUGCUCUGUUAACGUCUGACCCAGGCACACCUUGCUUCACGGGCUGCCACAUAAUUGGACUCAGAGGCUCACUAAAGUUGAGGUAAAGAAGGAAGCAGGCCUGGUUUUAAAUGGCUCAAUCCUUUAUUUGUAUUCAGUUUCACAGGAGAUGAGCCCCCUUUGCCUACACAAUGGUAAGAAUGACAAUGCAGAAGAGAGGCUCCUCUUCCUAUGGAUUUGCUUCAGGGAGGUCAGGGCUGUCAGUGGUAAGUGAUUUUCUACUGAGUUCAUCAGUUAUUGUACAAAAGUGUGGCUUUCCUAGCUCUCUUGCCAGACUACAGACAUUAGACAGAAGGUUUAGAAAUUUUAUUUUAUUUUUCCAACAGUUUUGUGAAAAGAAAAUAGAAGCGAAGAAGAAUCCUGUUUAGCUGCAUCCAAACCCCUUUUCCCAACAUAAUGCAACAGAUACGAAUUUUGUGGAAAGCACCAUUUCAGGGGCUGUGCCAAGGGGUGGCGUGGGAGUCAGGCAUCAUUGCCUUAACAACUUACCUCUAAGAACAACAUAAAUUUGCUUUGAACAUGGACUGUAGUAAAGAUGUUUGCAUCUUCUGAUUAAGCUGUGUUUCAUUCAGCAAAUCUGUUUUGAGCCGUAGCUGCGUGUCAGCUUUAUUCCAGGCACUAGGGAUACAGAGACGUCAAGGACAAGACAAAUACGUCGUUGGAUUUAUGGGACUUACA
rnacentral:lncRNA from 1 species